GGGCGAAUGGUUUAGUGGUAUAAUACUCGCUUAGCAGUUGAACUGUCUAACUUGUGAGUGGUCCAGGGUUCGAUUCCCUGUUCGUCCA
rnacentral:tRNA from 1 species